GGGGCGGGGCGCGGUCGCCAUGGGAACGCGGGGGCCGCGCUCGCCCCGCCGCCCCCGGGAGGGACCCGCGGCCUUCGCGGCCCUUCCCGUGCCCCUCGCCCGGCUUGCGAAACGGGACCGCUUCCCCUUUCCUGGAGACGCCUUCCCUUUUCUAAGAACGGCCCGGACGCGGGGAAGCGGCGCUGCACGGCCCCUCUCCCACAGAGGGAUGUGGCCGAGGCAGGAGCGGCACCGGCAUCGCCAUGGCAGGGAGGGACUGGGAACGGGAGAGCGUCCAGUGCACCGGGCAGGCAGGAGGACUCAUCCUUUUGCAAAAACCAGCUGUGACUGGUACCACACGGCCUCAGCCUCCCACAGGGGCUGCGACGGGAGCCCAGGCAAAGGCAAACUGUGCGUUUGGCCACAUCAGUCUGGGGAACGUGAGCACCCCAAACUCGGGCUUGGAGCUUGGACAGCACAGCCUCAACCUCUGGAUCCAGCCUCCUCCAGGGAGCUUUGCUUCCCCUGUGGCACCCGCUUGCUGAGGAGCCAAAUGGACAGCACAGCAGGAAGCAGCACUAAACACAACAAGGGAGCCCAGCAUGGAUUGGUUGUAAAACUCCCUGCCUUCGUUUUAUUGCCUUUGGUAAAGCUUGGUAAAUAUUUCUGGGACAGGCAACUCCUUGUCUGGCUUUAAUUACCUGGGCAAAUUUUCCUAAGGAUUAUAUUGACCUCAAAUA